AGUUGCUCUUAAUUGGUUCCCAUCGGAGAGGUGCAGUUGUAGCUGUUGUUUACUCACUGGUUUUGGUGCUUGUAAAGAGGUGCUACUACUGCUGUAUUGUUGCCGCUACUGGUAAACUGCUGAUGCUAUGAACUGGGGCAGUUGUGUGGACUGGUUAUCUGGGCAAUUCUCUGGUCAUUCUUUGGCCACUAGUGCUAAGAAAUUAAUGCUUACUUGUACUAUUUACUGUAUCUGGCAGAAGAGAAGUGCUAGGUUCUUCUCAUCUGUUUGUACUCCUGCUAAUGUGGUUGUGAGAAAAGUUGAAUCUCAGGUUAGGUGCAGGCUCUUAUCUGUUAACAACUUCAAGGAUGAUGGGGAUAAUGAUUGGUUUAUGGACUCAUGGCAUUUUCCUCA